CAGGCCUAACACAUGCAAGUCGAACGCAGUAGCAAUACUGAGUGGCAAACGGGUGAGUAUAAUGUGGGAAUCUGCCUUUUGGUUUGGAAUAACACGGGGAAACCUGUGCUAAUACCAAAUAAGCCCUUACGGGGAAAGUUUUAAUGCCAAAAGAUGAGCCCGCACUUGAUUAGCUAGUUGGUAAGGUAAAAGCUUACCAAGGCAACGAUCAAUAGCUGUUCUUAGAGGAAGACCAGCCACAUUGGGACUGAGACACGGCCCAGACUCCUACGGGAGGCAGCAGUGGGGAAUCUUGCACAAUGGGGGAAACCCUGAUGCAGCGAUGCCGCGUGAGUGAAGAAGGCCUUUGGGUUGUAAAACUCUUUCGUCGGGGAAGAAAUGACUGUACCCGAAUAAGAAGGUCCGGCUAACUUCGUGCCAGCAGCCGCGGUAAUACGAAGGGACCUAGCGUAGUUCGGAAUUACUGGCUUAAAGAGCUCGUAGGUGGUUAAAAAAGUUGAUGGUGAAAUCCCAAGGCUCAACCUUGGAACUGCCAUCGAAACUUUUUAGCUAGAGUGUGAUAGAGGUAAGUGGAAUUUCUAGUGUAGAGGUGAAAUUCGUAGAUAUUAGAAAGAACACCAAAUGCGAAGGCAACUUACUGGGUCACUAC
rnacentral:rRNA from 1 species